UACGUAGGGGGCUAGCGUUGUCCGGAAUCAUUGGGCGUAAAGCGCGUGUAGGCGGCCCGGUAAGUCCGCUGUGAAAGUCGGGGGCUCAACCCUCGGAUGCCGGUGGAUACUGUCGGGCUCGAGUACGGAAGAGGCGAGUGGAAUUCCUGGUGUAGCGGUGAAAUGCGCAGAUAUCAGGAGGAACACCAAUUGCGAAGGCAGCUCGCUGGGACGUUACUGGCGCUGAGACGCGAAAGCGUGGGGAGCAAACAGG
rnacentral:rRNA from 1 species